UACAAGUAGUAGGAAGGAAACUGGACCGACCUUCGGGAGCUUGUACAGGUGCUGCAUGGCUGUCGUCAGCUCGUGUCGUGAGAUGUUCGGUUAAGUCCGCUAACGAGCGCAACCCUCGCUGUGUGUUACAAGUGUCACACGGAACUGCCGGUCAUAAACCGGAGGAAGGUGGGGAUGACGUCAAGUCAGCAUGGCCUUUAUAUCCUGGGCUACACACACGCUACAAUGGGAAGGGACAAUAGGUUGCGAAGCCGCGAGGCGGAGCCAAUCCAGCAAAACUUCCCUCAGUUCAGAUUGCAGGCUGCAACCCGCCUGCAUGAAGUUGGAGUUGCUAGUAAACGCAGGUCAGCCAUACUGCGUUGAAUACGUUCCCGGGGCUU
rnacentral:rRNA from 1 species